UGCCCUGGGCUUGCAAUUGUGAUUGGC
rnacentral:piRNA from 1 species